CAAUAGCGUAUAUUAAAGUUGUUGCAGUUAAAAAGCUCGUAGUUGGAGUUCAGGGUGAGCUCAGCUGGUCGGCCUAAUGGGUCAGAACUGGUUGACUCUCCCUUGGUUGUGGAUCCCUCCGGAGUUAAUUCUUCGGGUGUGGAGUCCACAUCGUUUACCUUGAAAAAUUAGAGUGUUCAAAGCAGGCCUAUGCUCUGAAUAGGUUAGCAUGGAAUAAUAAAAUAGGACUUUGGUUCUAUUUUGUUGGUUUCUAGGACCGAAGUAAUGAUUAAUAGGGACAGUUGGGGGCAUUCAUAUUCCAAUGUCAGAGGUGAAAUUCUUGGAUUAUCGGAAGAUGAACUUCUGCGAAAGCAUCUGCCAAGGAUGUUUUCAUUGAUCAAGAACGAAAGUUAGGGGAUCGAAGACGAUUAGAUACCAU
rnacentral:rRNA from 1 species